rnacentral:rRNA from 1 species
UACGGAGGGUGCAAGCGUUGCUCGGAAUCACUGGGCGUAAAGGGCGUGUAGGCGGUUUCGUAUGUCUGGCGUGAAAGCCCCGGGCUCAACCCGGGAAGUGCGUUGGAAACUGCGAAACUAGAGUCUCGGAGAGGAAGGUGGAAUUCCAGGUGUAGCGGUGAAAUGCGUAGAUAUCAGGAAGAACACCCGUGGCGAAAGCGGCUCUCUGGAACGGUACUGACGCUGAGACGCGAAAGCGUGGGGAGCGAACAGG